GCCUAUUGGGCUCUGAGCAAACGUAGGGACACUAAGUAGGGAAUAGGGCUCCAUUUGAGAGUGUGAUGCACUAAUAGUACCUACCUAGGGUCUGCUUACCACAAGUAUUGGGUAGGGAUUAACACCGGUAACUGUCCCGGGAACACUUUACACCCCCCCUCAAAAAAAAUGUAUGACAAGACAUGGGAAAUGACAAUAUUUUCCCCAAUGUGGCACUAAUGCAAUUCCACAGUAUGAGCAGCAGCAGAUUGGCACAUUAUCCCACCAGGUAGAAGCAGAUUGGCACAUUAUCCCACCAGGUAGAAGCAGAUUGGCACAUUAUCCCACCAGGUAGAAGCAGAUUGGCACAUUAUCCCACCAGGUAGAAGCAGAUUGGCACAUUAUCCCACCAGGUAGAAGCAGAUUGGCACAUUAUCCCACCA
ensembl:lncRNA